CUGACAAUGAGUGAUGUUUCAAUCUUUGAUUAACUAUGUACAAUUUUGCAUUUGGCACACCUGUAGUGAGCAUGGUGUAAGUUCAGCUGGAGUAGAGUGUGUAGCAGUGUCUUCCCCUGAAUUCAUCAGCUAACAAUCCUCUACAUGUAAAUUACAUGAUGUAACAUUAAAAAUUUCAGGGAUUUUGUACUUUUUCUUUCCACCAAAAUAGAAUACUUCUUUGUGAAUGGCCAUGCAGAUUUUCCAUGUGGAAUAAAUUAAAUACAAUUUCCCCUUUGCGUUGACUCUCUACGUAUAGAAAUUUAGUUACAAAAGCAAUAAACUAGAUUUUUGUAUCGUUAGUUUUAAAGUAUCUGGUUAACUGUAUUAUAUACUGCUACCCUUUCUUAUUGUGUCCAGUCAUAACCGCAGUAAGAAAUACCCACCAUUGUACCUAAUUAUAGUUUCAUAAUAUUUCUAAGAGAUCAUCUGGAGCCUAUUUGAGUGCAUGAGAUGCAUUUAGAAGGUAAGAGAGAAAUAGGAGCAUGUUAAAUUGAGCAACGUUUGUGGAUUGAUUUUGUGUCCAAAAUGAAAAGACAAACCCAGAGUUCUAACUCAAUGAUGAUCAAAAAAGAUACAAGGCAUUACAUUUUUCAGAAACAUCUUCACGAGGACCAAGGAGCAACCCAAGCAUUAUGAACUUCAAACACAUUUCAGUACAUUGUUGAGUUUUGACCACUGCUUAAUAAUUUCAAACCCAAUUUCUCACUAAUUUCAAUAUAGUCCUCACUGAUUUUAAUGACUAUUGCCAGAGUUUUGAAAAGAAAUGCUGCUGCAAAGGCGUAGCAACUAGAGGGAAUUGAAGGCAUAUUCCAUUUUCUGUGGAACCAAAUGGCUCAUCAGUAAGCAAGAACAGUCCCAGUCAAGCACCAACCAUUUGUGGGGAGAAGAAUGAAGUUUAAUUAAAAAAAAAAAAAAAGAAAAAAAGUACAUAUUUAAAAACAACAAACAAAAAACAGAUCUUUUGUAAUGCAACUUAUAGUUAAGUGCGUCUAUUGCCAUGCCAGUUUUUGUGCUAGUACCUAUAUCUAGUUAAAAAAAUAAGAAUAAUCUGAACUCAUAUGUAAGUAGUCAGGACACAUUGCUUAAGGAUUUAUGAAGUGUUCCAUCUGUUUAAGUAAAAACACAGUUACUGCCUCUGAUGCUGACUGGUCUAAACAGUUUUGUUUAAAAAAAAUCAAAAAAAGCCAUACCAGCUCUUCACUGGUAACUUCCUACAAAAGAUGACAGAGGCAUUCACACAGACUUUUUUUGCUUGUUUAUUUUAAAAAAGCAUAGUCAACCUGUUUUAUACAUAAAUAUAGUGAAGCAAUAAAAGAAGUCUAACAUUCACAAAAGUCUCUACAAAGUAAUAAAUAUAAUGGAAGCAAAAACACACACAAAGUCUCUUACUGUUAACUAAUCUAUGUGUCCUACAUGUAUACCUUUAUACCCUGCUCCUCUCAACAAAAGUGGCACACGCUUAAACUUUGUCAGUGUUGUAGCAUCUACCCUUCUGUUGUUCGGCCUACAUUCUAAUUUAUAUUGUGGUUGUGUUUUUAUCUAUUUUCUAAGUAAAUCAAGCCUUUCUAUAAUAGUAAGUGCACUUCUCUAAUCAGACUUCUAGUUUGUUACAAAUUUGUAUCUCACUGCCUUUAAUAUUCAGCAGCAUACUCCCUUGUACUCCCAUCAAAACUGAGUUACUUUCUGGUCACUGUACUUGCAUCAGGGUACGUGCAUUAACACUCUGCUCUAUAUAUUUCUAAAGCCAGACACUGAUACAGGUGCAUUAAUUAAAACUGCUUCCAUCUACACUUACUUCACUAAAUUGUGUUUAUUAGAAAUCAUGCAUUUAGGGGGUGGGUAGGAUGGGAAUCACAGCCUAUUAAUAAUACAGUUCCAACAGUAUAGAAGUAAUUUUUUUCUUUUUUUUUUUAAUAAAAAAGGAAAAAAGAAAUGAAAGUGGUCCGUGACCACUCCAGAUGAGAUGUCCCAGCACUGUGGCCCAUUCUGCAGACUGAAAGCAGUAUCGCACUCUCGUAUCUUCUUGCUUCUCUUUUCUUGCCAGAGAGAGGUGCUGAGCCCAGUGCCAAGAUCUAUGCGAAAGCGGUGCAGGAGGUCCUUUCAGAGAGAGCUCAUCUCCAGGCUGGAGGGCUUCCCACAGCAGCAGGUCCCAGCUCAGGGAGAAGACCUUCCCCUGCCGUGUGCCCCCGCUCUGUCUCCAAGUCCCUGGCUGGAGGCAAAUGCAAGGGCUUGGAAGCAGAGCAGCAAAGAGCAGCGCAGCUGCCUGCUAACAAAAGAGUGAGGGCUCAGAGCAGAGGCAGCGUGCCGGCUCCAGCAGCACAGCCUGGGCCUGGUGCAGCACGGAGCUCCAAGCUGAGAGCAAGAAGACAACGAAAAGCAAGAAGAGUGGAACUGAAGAAGGCUGCUCUGAGAGCUGCUGCUGCACGUGCAGAGUGCUCCGCAAUGAACAGCCUUGUGGAGAUGAUGCAGAAGCUGCAGCUGAAGGACUGAGAGGACGAGCAUCAGCAGGCAGCACUGCAGCGCAGCUUUACAGGGCAGCGCUCCGAGUGCCGCCAACUCGGCACCACGAGUUUGGUUGUAGUCAAUAAAAAACAGCCACAAUUAGACGUCGACAAAGAGCGCAUGGCCUUAUUUGUCCUGUGGCAUUCCAUGAGCUGCUGCACUCCUACUGGUCCAGAGUAGAACCUAUGCAGCUUCGGAGCACCAAGCCGCCAUCCUGGCACGGUUUUUGGAGGCAGUGCUCCAAGCUUUGGGCUGUAAUACCCCUGACAAUGAAAACACAACUUGCAUUUUAACACGACACUGCUGUACUUUGUACCAAAUCAGUGCUCCUUGGGUCUCUGAGGUAGGACAGGGUGAAGGGGAGCGACGUGAAGCUGUGUGCAAGAAAUCUGAGGGUGGGAGGGCACUGCCAAACCCAGCUGGUGCAUCUCUGUGCAGUUUUGCCUUCCCGGGAGGAACCCAGAGAUUCCCGGUAGUUUUCUGCUCCUGUACUGCAGUGUGAGCAUAAGGUUCUGCUGCCUCCUUCUGGAAGAUCCUCUGCAGCCAUGGACAUCUGAUACAGGCACCUGUCCUUUUCGGUUUGUUUUUGUUUUUUAAUCAGGACACAUUAUGCCUGUUGUGUUUUCUGCAGGUUACUUACCAAAGUCACCAUGAAAGGGUUUUGAUUUUCCUGCAGUCAGAUUUGCUCUCAUGUAACAUGCUUCUGUAACAGAGUCCAUCUGACUUUUGAAAUUAUUUUGUUGAGGUUCAAGACAUUCUAGUCUUUAUAGUUUAUAGUCUUUAUAGCACCACCCUUCCCUCCUGCUUAUAAGUUCCUAUUUAAUUACUGGAAGGCCACAUCAGGUUUCCCCAGUGUUGUAUUAGGCGCUUGCGCCAUCUUCGGGUUGUAACGCGUUAGGCCCUCCCCUUUCCAUAUAUAAGCACGUGUUAGUUUCAUUAAAGCGCCAUUUUGCUGUUCACCA